rnacentral:rRNA from 1 species
GACGAACGCUGGCGGCGUGCUUAACACAUGCAAGUCGAACGGAAAGGCCCUGCUUUUGUGGGGUGCUCGAGUGGCGAACGGGUGAGUAACACGUGAGUAACCUGCCCUUGACUUUGGGAUAACUUCAGGAAACUGGGGCUAAUACCGGAUAGGAGCUCCUGCUGCAUGGUGGGGGUUGGAAAGUUUCGGCGGUUGGGGAUGGACUCGCGGCUUAUCAGCUUGUUGGUGGGGUAGUGGCUUACCAAGGCUUUGACGGGUAGCCGGCCUGAGAGGGUGACCGGCCACAUUGGGACUGAGAUACGGCCCAGACUCCUACGGGAGGCAGCAGUGGGGAAUAUUGCACAAUGGGCGGAAGCCUGAUGCAGCAACGCCGCGUGCGGGAUGACGGCCCUCGGGUUGUAAACCGCUUUCGCCUGUGACGAAGCGUGAGUGACGGUAAUGGGUAAAGAAGCACCGGCUAACUACGUGCCAGCAGCCGCGGUGAUACGUAGGGUGCGAGCGUUGUCCGGAUUUAUUGGGCGUAAAGGGCUCGUAGGUGGUUGAUCGCGUCGGAAGUGUAAUCUUGGGGCUUAACCCUGAGCGUGCUUUCGAUACGGGUUGACUUGAGGAAGGUAGGGGAGAAUGGAAUUCCUGGUGGAGCGGUGGAAUGCGCAGAUAUCAGGAGGAACACCAGUGGCGAAGGCGGUUCUCUGGGCCUUUCCUGACGCUGAGGAGCGAAAGCGUGGGGAGCGAACAGGCUUAGAUACCCUGGUAGUCCACGCUGUAAACGGUGGGUACUAGGUGUGGGGUCCAUUCCACGGGUUCCGUGCCGUAGCUAACGCUUUAAGUACCCCGCCUGGGGAGUACGGCCGCAAGGCUAAAACUCAAAGGAAUUGACGGGGCCCCGCACAAGCGGCGGAGCAUGCGGAUUAAUUCGAUGCAACGCGUAGAACCUUACCUGGGUUUGACAUGGAUCGGGAGCGCUCAGAGAUGGGUGUGCCUCUUUUGGGGUCGGUUCACAGGUGGUGCAUGGCUGUCGUCAGCUCGUGUCGUGAGAUGUUGGGUUAAGUCCCGCAACGAGCGCAACCCUUGUUCACUGUUGCCAGCACGUUAUGGUGGGGACUCAGUGGAGACCGCCGGGGUCAACUCGGAGGAAGGUGGGGAUGACGUCAAGUCAUCAUGCCCCUUAUGUCCAGGGCUUCACGCAUGCUACAAUGGCUGGUACAGAGAGUGGCGAGCCUGUGAGGGUGAGCGAAUCUCGGAAAGCCGGUCUCAGUUCGGAUUGGGGUCUGCAACUCGACCUCAUGAAGUCGGAGUCGCUAGUAAUCGCAGAUCAGCAACGCUGCGGUGAAUACGUUCCCGGG